rnacentral:lncRNA from 1 species
GCAUCAGUGGAAGACAAUGACAUAUCCAUAACCACAUGGUCCUGUCGUCCAACUAAUUGACAUUAUUUAUUACUUCAGCUCAUAUAAGUUCAAGAACAAUAGGUCCUACAUUUUUCUCCUACAUGGAACAAAGGAUUUCUUAGAAUCAAAUCCAUAAAUAUGAUGUGGUGCCAUAUGAUGAUUCAUUGGACCAAAACAUACCCCAGAUGGAAACUAUGUGUCCAUUUAUAUAAGAAUAUUAAGAGCAAACAAGUCAAUCAUAUGUACGAUUUCACUGGUGGAGAGGCAUUUGUUGCACUGUUGAUUGACAAUAGCAGAUGAAGUAUCACAUGGUUUUGUUUUCCAACUCAUUGUCAAAUACAUAUACCAUUGCUGCCCUACUGUUUUUCAUGAAAAGAUCGAGAACACAGGAUCUUUAGAAAUCAACUUGAUAACAUUGAGUAAUUGUCAAUACAGGAUCUUUCGAGAUCAGACUGAUAAUAACAGGUAAUUGUCUUGUUAUGAUUCAGGUCUGGACCACUUGGUCUGCAAUUACAAAUAAAUUUACUGCAAUAUCUAACAACUUGUUUGGUCCCUCAUGCUAAGUCAUUAUGUAGGAUCAACUUUCCAUAUCAGAAUUACCUAAAUUAUUUCAGCAGAUUUUGUGAAAUGUUUCACUAAUCGUAGAGAACAAAUUUUUUUUACUGGCUAUCAACAUGUCUGUGUCUAUGUUAUGCAGAUAUUCAUUAAAUUAUGAGUCAUAACCUUAUUAAUGCCAGAAAUUUGAGUAAAUAUUCAAGAAAAUUACUGAUAUUAUUCUUAUUAAGAGAAAAUUUUUGCAUUCAUUUUCUGUUGCAUUCAGUUGCACUCAGUACUUCCACAAUGCUGCAGCUCUAGUACAUAUUGGGUUAUCAUUUUAUCAACAUGGUAGUGAUCAUAAUGUCAUUAACUGAAGGGGUUAUGCCACUUUAGAAGACUAGAUUCUAGUUCAUUCUGAUUAUAAGUAAACCAUGAGAGUUGAGAAAAAAAAAUUCUACUGCUAUGAAUUGAUUACAUCAAUAUAUGGAAAUAGAAUGGAGCAAUAGAAGUAAAAAGGUUCAUUCUUCAAUUUCUAUUGAAGUAGAAAAAUGUGUCCUUAGUCAAGAGACAAAAGAAUGACAUCCAUUCUUUAUGUAGCUAAACUCAUUAAAUCUAACUAGUAUUUCUUCCUCGCCUGAACUGUACACAGUGGAGAUCCUGCUUUAUAGCUUUACAAAAUUGUGUAAGCAAAAAAAGGGGGCUAAUUUCCUUGUCACUUCCUCAAGCGAGAUGUGAGAUCAACGAAAAAGUCUUCACUGCAUGGAAUUGUGAGACCACCCAUUGGAUGAUCAAAGCCAAAUUCUUCCUCAGCUUGACUAAGCAAGUUUUGAAAUGCCGGUUGACUCAAAAAUGAUAUAGGUAUUACAACUCUCUUCUUUUGCUUCUCCCCAACAUACACAGCAAAGUGGCCCUUGGGAACAUCUCCACUUGUCGAAGACUUCUUGAUCAUACGAAGAAUUGCCAUGGUCUUUUAGUUUUAGUAAGAAAGAAAGAAUUACUAAAGAACUCAAAAGCAGAGAAAACUUUCAAUACUUUCAAGUUUGGUGAGAGCUACACCUCUUUGAAUAUGUUUAUAUAGGCAAUGGCAAUUCAUAGAACACAGCUGAUAUGUGUUGAAUAGGAAUUUGUGGACACCAGCAGAAGACAAUGUCACUGAAGUAUCACAUGCUUUUGUCUUCCAAUUAUUAAUAACUUUGCACUAUUAGUUCAAGAACAAUAGGCCCUACCUUUUCUUCAAAGCAUAGAUGAAGCCUUGAGCUAUUCAUGCCUGUACCACUCGGCCAAGUGCUUCCUAGCUUUGUCCAAACUUAGUGCAAAUUAACAUUAGGCCUUAAUUCAUGGACAACAGGUCCUACCUUUUCAUUGAACCUGGAACAAGAGUAUCCUUCAAAAUCAACUUGCUAAAGAGGAAUUGUACUACCAUGUGAUUAAUUAUGUCUAGAUACACAUCCCCGAAAAUUAGUAGAUGUUAACAUGGUUUUGUUGUAAGUAUUAUCCUUGAGGAAAUAAAAUAAUCUUCUAUCACCCUACUUUCCAACUUCC